AUAAGUAAAUGUGAAAGUGAUUUCUUUUUAUGAGCCUGUUAAUUAGUAACAUAGACCAGUAUUCACCUUUUUUUGAUAGAAUGAUUGUUCUAAGGUCCAGAACAAUUCAAUUAACAAAAAAUACUUAACAGUGCUUGUACUUAAAAUCAUUCUAUAUCAGAACAAUUCAACCAGUACUUGAUGUUAAAUAAUGAGUUUGAUUGCUUUGCGGUCACUGGGGUUGAUGAGUCAGAGGAAUCGCAGGGUAAGCUGGGCUGAGGUUGGAGGUACAAAGGCAUUGGUGAGUCACUGGGACUGCCUUUCAGUGUGCCAGGGGCCGCUGUACAGGAGAUGGAAGAAUCCCAGGGCUGGCAUAGCCCCUGGUGCUAAGCAGUCUCUAACUCCAGGGCCUGCAGCAGAUCCACGGCCCACGAGACGCCAGGCAUUAUGGAGUGAACAAGACCCAGGACUGACUCUGAGCUGAUUGAGCUAAUUAAAUAAUUAAGAGUAGAAGUUUGCACAAAAUCCUGAAACCAGCACACAGACAGCCCUCCAGAACUGGAGUUCUACACCCCUGCUUUAAAUCAGUCAAUCACCCCCUCUAAUAGUACUGCAAAACAAAAAGUACCAGAGAUCCCACUCUGUAAACUGGCAUGACUAUACAUCAGACUGUAUAGAACAACUCAUGAAAAAUGUAUGUUACCAUUGUGUUAUCAUUUAUUGUAGAUAGGCCAAAAGUAGAGUGCAAAUGUAUGCUUGUUCCCUCAUUUUCUUCAUGAUGGCCUGUAUGUUUUUUCCCCCUCAAAAGUAUACCAAAGGUCAUUACUCCAAGGUUGUGCAAUGGGUGUCUAGUAUCAGAAAGCUCUGGGAGGUCAAGAUUCAGAAGUGGCCAUUUCCCCUGGAAUGGCCCUUAAUUGGAUCUUGUGUCACAUGCCACCCAUAUUUUGUUCUUAUAUUUCCCUGUUUGCUGGGCAUGUACUGCCUGAACAGACCACAGCCUUUGAAAGGAACCGCUUGUUUGUUCACCGUGACUUCAGCCGCAGGAUUGUACAGACAUGGUUCAGGCAACCCCAAGGCAUCGGUGAUGUCUGCAAAUGGCUCUGCAUUCUUGGCAAGCGAAUCAUCACCAGACAGAGGGCUCCACUUGUCUUUCCUCAAAACCACCUAUUCUGUGCAAUCUCACCAGCAGCAAAUUUUCUGGCUUGGCUCCCAUUCAUUCAAAUCACAUUUGGCUUAUGGAAAUGAAUCUAAUGUCAGUUAAAUAAAAACAAGUCCUGUCA